rnacentral:misc_RNA from 1 species
AACGUAACAAGGUUUCCGCAGGUGAACCUGCGGAAGGAUCAUUAACACGUAUCCUACGUUUAACUUCAUCGAAACCCCCGUCAGUGCAAAAAUGGAUCACACAACAGGCGAUUCGACAGAUGCGCUUUCCGGGGGGCACCUUACUGGUCACUUGAGGUAUGGAACUUGCCGCACGGUUUGUGUAGCAAAGCGGAUACUAGACUUUACCGCUGGAAAAAUUGACAACAAUACCCGUACCGUGCUCCUACUUCUUAGGGAGAGCUGGAGCCGGAAACCCCGAACAACUGUUAACAAUGGAUAACUUGGCUCUC